rnacentral:rRNA from 1 species
CCUCUUCCCAUUCCGAACAGAGAAGUUAAGCCCAACCACGUCGAUGGUACUGCGUAAAAGUGGGAGAGUAGAUAGCCGCCGUUU